GUCCAAGUAAAGAAUCGCUAGCCGAAGCUAAAGUUAUCAAGGAAAUCCUAGCCGUAGCUGUUGAACCAGAGCAAGAUGAACUAGAUAACCUUAUCGAGAAAUGGGAUCUUUGGAAAGCCGUCCGAAUUACAGCAUGGAUAGCGAGAUUUACCAAGAAUUGCCGAACGAAAGAGAAAAUAACCGGUCCUCUGACAACUGAAGAAAUAAACGAACAGCUUGAGUUCUGGAUUAAAAGAGCACAAUCCCGAUGCGAAGGGAAAGAAAAAUUCGAAGAGGACAGGCUCCAACUUAAUCUUCAACUAAACGAUCGAGAUAUCUAUGAAUGUAGAGGAAGAUUGCAAGGAGACUAUCCUAUUUAUGUUCCAGACGAAGACGUACUUGCCGAGAAAUUAGUUACACAUGCACAUUCGCAGACCUUACAUGGGGGAGCUUUACUAACAAUGACUAAGAUCAGAGAGAAAUAUUGGAUCCCAAGAUUAAGACGAUUGACGAAACGUGUGAUACGAAAGUGCCAUGGAUGUAAAAGAUUCCAAGUCAAAGCAUACGCAGAUCCUCCGACAGCUAAUCUACCCCUCGAGAGGACGACCGGUUCAACACCCUUUAAAGUCAUCGGAGUUGAUUACGCAGGUCCGAUCAGAUAUCUAAGCAAAACGAAGAAGGAAAAGAAAGCUUACGUGGCGUUAUAUGCGUGCAGUCUAACGAGAGCUCUCUAUCUCGACCUAUUACCAGAUCAAAGUACCGAAGAGUUCUUGCUCAGCUUGAAACGAUUUAUAGCAAGGAAAGGACGUCCAGAAAAAAUAUUCUCCGACAACGGUAAAACAUUCGUAGCGACGGCAAAAUGGCUGAAAAGAGUUCGAAACGAUGAGAAAUUCAACAAUUGGUUGGCAAAGCAAGAUAUCAAGUGGAAGUUUAACUUAAGCCGCGCCCCAUGGUGGGGCGGGCAGUUUGAACGGUUAGUCGGUGUGAUGAAACAAGCGCUGUAUAAAUCGAUCGGGCAUGGAAACCUACGUUGGAAAGAGUUAGAAGAAGUUCUGUUGGACGUCGAAACCACUGUCAACAAUCGACCAUUGUCAUAUAUCGAGGACGAUGUCCAGAUGCCAAUAUUGACUCCAAAUUCGAUGCAGUUUGUACAGCCGACUCAAAUCCCAGAAGAAGAAACUGCCGGAGUUGAAAAUAUCGACCUUCGUAAACGUGCAAGAUACUUGAGAAGAUGUAAAGAUGUCGUUUGGUCCAGAUGGACGAACGAAUACCUCAAAUCAUUACGAGAAAGACACAAGCUAAAGCACAACACGAAGCAAAUGACAGCGAAACGAGGUGACGUAGUUCUAAUUAAAGGAGACGAACGCAACCGAGGGAAGUGGAAAAUUGGGAUAAUCGAAUCGUUCAUUGUCGGCAGAGACGGUGUAAUAAGAGGAGCGCGUUUGAGAGCAGGGAAGUCCCAUAUCGAACGUGCGAUGCAACAUCUAUUCCCGAUGGAAUUAUCGUGUGAUAUCUACCCAACUGAAGAUAUUGGAACAAACGAAAAACAAGAAAAGUCAUCUGAAAGAACUACGAGAGCCGCAGCAGUCGAAGCUCGUGAACGUAUAGCGAACAUUGCUAGAAAUGAACUAGACGAAUUGGACUAGAGAGAACACUUAGCAGGAACUAAAGAUACAUUUACAUUAAAGUUAGUUGUUUAGCACGUGAUUUACUAGGUUAUAUAUUUGUCUUGUAGCAAGUCAAAUAGGGGGAGAGUGAAGUAAAUUGCGCAAUGUCGGAAAUUAGUCCUCUGGGAACUUUGCCCGGGGUGAUGUAAUUCCGGGGACGAAUGUAACGAACACGUUGUUGAUCGAAAAACCUUAGCGAAGCGUGAACUACAUAUCAG
rnacentral:lncRNA from 1 species